rnacentral:tRNA from 1 species
AAGGAGUUAGUUUAAAAAAAACAAUUACUUGUCAAGUAGUAGUUACAAAAAACUGUGCACCUUG